GACAGAGGGUGCAAACGUUGUUCGGAAUUACUGGGCGUAAAGAGCGUGUAGGCGGUCCGAUAAGUCGGCUGUGAAAGUCCAGGGCUCAACCCUGGGAUGCCGGUCGAUACUGUCGGACUAGAGUUCGGAAGAGGCGAGUGGAAUUCCCGGUGUAGCGGUGAAAUGCGCAGAUAUCGGGAGGAACACCUAUGGCGAAGGCAGCUCGCUGGGACGUUACUGACGCUGAGACGCGAAAGCGUGGGGAGCGAACAGG
rnacentral:rRNA from 1 species